rnacentral:sRNA from 1 species
GCGGUGGCUCAUGCCUGUUAUCCCAGGACUUUGGGAGACCUAGGCGGGCGGAUCAUGAGGUCAGGAGAUCAAGACCAUCCUGGCUAACACAAUGCAUCAAAUUGCAAUUUGGAGGAGAGGCAGCACAAGCAGAAGCCUGGGCCUGGCUAGCAGCCAAUCAGCUCUCAUCUGUCAUCACUACUAAGGAGUCUAGUGCUACAGAUGAAGCAUGGCGACUAUUAUCCACUUACCUGGAGAGGUACAAAGUCCAGAAUAACUUGUAUCACCACUGUGUAAUCAACAAGCUCUUGUCUCAUGGAGUGCCUCUGCCUAAUUGGCUUAUAAACAGUUACAAGGUAAACGGAUUAUAACUUGUACAGAGUAAGAACCCACUCUUUAUCAUUCUGGAUAACUUCAUGAGAUGAUUAAAAAUAUGGACUGAUUGCAGUGGCUCAUACCUGUCAUGCCCGCACAUUGGUAGGCCAACAGGGGAGGAUGGCUUGAGCCCAGGAGUUUGAGACCAGCUUGGGCAACACAGGGAGACCCCAUCUCUAUUUAAAUUUAAAAAUAUAUAAAGAAAAAGAAAAAGAUGGGGUGAUAACUUAUGGGAACAU